UUUGAGCUAAGAAUCUAAAUAAAGCAAGAAAAUUACCACUAAAUAUUUUAGCUUUAGGUAAAAUUUAAACCUAAAUUUAUUUAUAGAGUCAAAUUUCAAAUCUUAAGAGAUAAACAAGGAUUAGAUACCCUUCUAUACUUAAGACUUUUAAGCAGGGUAGUAACUAGUUAUGUUCUUCAAACCCAAAGGAUUUGGCGGUGCUCUAUAUAAUUAGAGGAGCCUGUGGAAUAAUCGAAACUACGCGCUAUAUCUUACCAAAGCUAAGCUUGUAUACCGUCGUCUAGGCAAUUCUAAAAAGACUUACCUAACUGAGAUAUACCUAUGGCAGAUCAAGGUGCAGCUUGCUUUGGUUACUAUAGGCUACAAUCUAGAUAUAGCUAGAAGAGGAAAGUAAGGUAACCUCUGAAAUAGGAUUUAAUAGUAAUUUAAGUUUAAUACACUAAAAUAAAAUUUCCAUAGAGCAUGUACAUAUCGCCCGUCACUCUCAUAUUCU
rnacentral:rRNA from 1 species